rnacentral:ncRNA from 2 species
AAUAUUUUGCAGGGGAACGCGUAUGCGUUGAGAAGGUAUAACCUGACCCUUUGAACCUGUUGGCCAAUACCAGCGUAGGGAGCGAGUCAUUUAAUUGA